rnacentral:rRNA from 1 species
UCGGGUUGGGAUGCGCGUUGCUCUUAUCAAGGGUUGCGCGCCUCGGGGUUCAGCUAGCUCGUUCGCCAGUGCACUUUCUCAAAGUGAUCACCACGACCGGCGCUGCUGCUUGGCUGUUUCGGUUAAAUCGGUCAUUCUUCGUCCCUGUGGCGUUGGGUGGUCGACACGGCAGGUAAUUGGGGGCAACGCAUUUGCUUGUUUCCCGGUGUAUGCUGACUUUAACGGACCAAUGCGGUGCGUCGGA